CUGAGAAUAUCUUGCUGUUCUGAUUUUGUAAUAGGACAGGCUCUAAAGAUUGGCCACGUAUGUGUACCCAGACCUAAUUCUUUCCCUAGGUCUGGUUUUAUAAACUCUGGUAAUAAAC
ensembl:snoRNA SNORA72 Small nucleolar RNA SNORA72